rnacentral:misc_RNA from 1 species
GAUGAAGAACGCAGCGAAAUGCGAUAAGUAAUGCGAAUUGCAGAAUUCCGUGAGUCAUCGAAUCUUUGAACGCACAUUGCGCCCCCUGGUAUUCCGGAGGGCAUGUCUGUCCGAGCGUCAUUAGUCCAAUCUCAAGUCCGGCUUGUCGUUGGGUCGCACCGCCCGGGGCGGUGGACCCGAAAUAUAAUGACGGGGUCUAGCGGACCGUGGGCGCAGCGAGCUUUUACAGCACGCGUCCCGGCGUCAUCUAGACGCGUCUCCAACCAUACUCUCUGUAGGUUGACCUCGGAUCAGACAGGAUUACCCGCUGAACUUAAGCAUAUCAAUAAGCGGAGGA